rnacentral:rRNA from 1 species
AGCUUAGAGAGCUUGCUUUUUAAGCUUAGUGGCGAACGGGUGAGUAACGCGUGAGUAACCUGCCCUAGAGUGGGGGACAACAGUUGGAAACGACUGCUAAUACCGCAUAAGCCCACGGUGCCGCAUGACACUGAGGGAAAAGGAUUUAUUCGCUUUAGGAUGGACUCGCGUCCAAUUAGCUAGUUGGUGAGGUAACGGCCCACCAAGGCGACGAUUGGUAGCCGGACUGAGAGGUUGAACGGCCACAUUGGGACUGAGACACGGCCCAGACUCCUACGGGAGGCAGCAGUGGGGGAUAUUGCACAAUGGGGGAAACCCUGAUGCAGCGACGCCGCGUGGAGGAAGAAGGUUUUCGGAUUGUAAACUCCUGUCGUUAGGGACGAUAAUGACGGUACCUAACAAGAAAGCACCGGCUAACUACGUGCCAGCAGCCGCGGUAAAACGUAGGGUGCAAGCGUUGUCCGGAAUUACUGGGUGUAAAGGGAGCGCAGGCGGGAAGACAAGUUGGAAGUGAAAACCAUGGGCUCAACCCAUGAAUUGCUUUCAAAACUGUUUUUCUUGAGUAGUGCAGAGGUAGAUGGAAUUCCCGGUGUAGCGGUGGAAUGCGUAGAUAUCGGGAGGACACCAGUGGCGAAGCGGUCUACUGGGCACCAACUGACGCUGAGGCUCG